UGUGUGUGUGUGUGUGUGUGUGUGUGUAUGUAUGUUAUAUAUAUAUAUAUACACAUAUACAUAUAUAUAUAUAUACAUACAUACAUACAUACAUACACACACACACACACAUACACA